rnacentral:rRNA from 1 species
CUACGGGUCGCUGCAGUGAGGAAUAUUGCACAAUGGAGGAAACUCUGAUGCAGCAACGCCGCGUGGAGGAUGACGCAUUUCGGUGUGUAAACUCCUUUUAUAUGUCAAGAAAAUGACGGUAGCAUAUGAAUAAGCUCCGGCUAACUCCGUGCCAGCAGCCGCGGUAAUACGGAGGGAGCAAGCGUUACUCGGAAUCACUGGGCGUAAAGGACGCGUAGGCGGGAUAGAAAGUCAGGUGUGAAAUCCUAUGGCUAAACCAUAGAACUGCACUUGAAACUUCUAACCUAGAGUAUGGGAGGGGAAGAUGGAAUUAGUGGUGUAGGGGUAAAAUCCGUAGAUAUCACUAGGAAUACCAAAAGCGAAGGCGAUCUUCUGGAACAAUACUGACGCUAAGGCGUGAAAGCGUGGGGAGCAAACAGGAUUAGAUACCCGAGUAGUC